rnacentral:lncRNA from 1 species
CCCCACUAGCGGCAGCGCGGGCCACGCCCUCUCCACUGUAGGGGCGUGGCAGCCCCGCCCCUGCGCUAGGCCUGGGGGCCUGGGGUGGGGGGAGGGAUCGCUGCCCGCGUGGAGACCCCUAGAAGACCCCGAAGCAGAAGAAAUCCCGCGUUCCAGGCAGGGUGGGAGGCCACGGUCUCAGGUACCCAAACCUGGAGCCUGGGGUGCGCUGUGGAUGGAGGGGGCCUGGCCGGCCGGCGGAGUAACAAAGUAACAGUCAGGAUCACAACAACAGAGCUUGUUUAUCUCAGUCUGGCUCCUGCAGGGCGCAGGGGGCAGGGUCCUCUCCCCCGGCCAGGUCAGCGAGCGGGUCCGUCCUGCCUGAUGCGCGCCGCGCUGUGUGCCGUCUCUACCCUCUCGGGUUCUCAUCUGCGAAGCGGCCCUGCCUGCAGCGGAGGCCAAGAGAAGGCUCCGGGGUCAGCCCUGCGCCCGGUCCCUGCCCCUCUGGCCUCUUCCAUCUCACGGUCCCUUUCCAGCGCCUCCAAAUUCCACGCCCUCAGAAUCCUGCGCCUGGCUCUCCCUGACACCUGCUGGUAGCCUCGGGAUGUCCCCGAUCAGGAGUGGUAAGCCCCAAACCGGGGCCUUCCUGCCAACGUCCGAGACUCAGAGAGAAGGUGACUCUGGUCUCACGGUCUGGAAAGACCCGCUGAGGAUGAGGAGGGUCGCCCUGGGUCUGGAGGCAGCCACGCAGAACCGGGCACAUAGUACCUGUGAGGAGCCUCAGGAGGCCCGCACAGGUGGGACAGGAUGCCGGACCCCAUUUUACAGGGAGAAACUCUGUCUCCCCCAGGGCUGUGG